GACACUGUGCUAUUAGAACAGUCACUAAUGCUACAGAGAAGAUUGGUAUGGCCCUUGUGUAAGAAUGACAUGCAAAUUCAUGAAGUGCUCCAUGUUAAA
ensembl:snRNA U6 U6 spliceosomal RNA